rnacentral:rRNA from 1 species
GAUGAGCGCUGGCGGCGUGCCUAAUACAUGCAAGUCGAGCGAACGGACGAGAAGCUUGCCUCUCUGAUGUUAGCGGCGGACGGGUGAGUAACACGUGGAUAACCUACCUAUAAGACUGGGAUAACUUCGGGAAACCGGAGCUAAUACCGGAUGAUAUUUUGAACCGCAUGGUUCAAAAGUGAAAGACGGUCUUGCUGUCACUUAUAGAUGGAUCCGCGCUGCAUUAGCUAGUUGGUAAGGUAACGGCUUACCAAGGCAACGAUGCAUAGCCGACCUGAGAGGGUGAUCGGCCACACUGGAACUGAGACACGGUCCAGACUCCUACGGGAGGCAGCAGUAGGGAAUCUUCCGCAAUGGGCGAAAGCCUGACGGAGCAACGCCGCGUGAGUGAUGAAGGUCUUCGGAUCGUAAAACUCUGUUAUUAGGGAAGAACAUAUGUGUAAGUAACUGUGCACAUCUUGACGGUACCUAAUCAGAAAGCCACGGCUAACUACGUG